ensembl:lncRNA
CUGAGUCUGCGCGGAUCCCCCUUUUUGCCCCUGCCCUUCUCUCCAGCGGCGCGACGGUACGAACGGGGGAGGGUCACAUUCCUCAGCUUGUCCCUCCCUCCACCCUGUUACCAGGAGGGUAAAGAGUGGAGCAAAGUUACUUGAAUGAAAAUUGUUGGUCUAAGUGGUAUUUACAUACAACAUUUCUGAUACAUCUGAAAUGGAAGUAAACAAGCCUUGUCUGAAAAAUCCACCUUCAUCAUUAUACCAUUCUACCUUGAGAUGACCUUAUUACAAUUUGUUAAAGCUGUACCAGGGAAGAAGUUGUGUUGCAUCAAGAUACUGAGAAGUUGUAUUCAGGGACCACCUUCUUCAAGCCCAGAAGCAGUACAUCCCAAGAAAAAGGAAGACAGAAAAGAAUGCCAGGAGGCCUCCCUGGAUCAACAAUGAGCUCCUGGACUUCCUUAAAUGCUAAAUGAAAGACAACAGGAAGUGGAAGUGGGAACAGUUUACCUGGGAGAACUACAAAGAUGCUGUCCAAGCAGCCAGGGAUCAGGUUAGGAUUUAAUUCCAGAUGGAAUUAAAUCUAGUCAGAGACAUAAGGAGGAACAAGAAGAAGAAAUUCUACAGGUUUAUCAAUGAUAAAAGGAAGGCCAAGGAAUACGUGUGAUCUCUCUGGACAGAAACUGGAGACCUGGUCACAAGGGAUACAGAGAAAAGUGAGGUGCUCAAUGACUUCUUUGCCCCAGUCUUCACCGGCAAGAGCUCUAGCCACACCACCCAAACUGCAGAAGGCAAAGCAGGGAGGCUGAGGGGUCCCAAGGAGAUGGAAG